UCAUAUGAGGCUACAAGGGCAUGUGCCCCUACCCCCUAUGCAUAUUAUUGACCUGAAAGAGAACUGUUUUUCUGUCUUCCGGAUAUUUUAUACCCCCGAUGAAGGUAAGGUAGAGACAUCAUUGUGUUCUGUUUAAGUGGUGCCCUUUUUGUCCCACCCUAAGAUUUCAGUUCCAUCACAUGGUAGGUUCAAAGUUGAAAUGCACAGCACAUUUUGCUUUUGUAAGGAAUUGGAAGAGGGCAUUAAAAUGGAGCUAAUGGCAUUAUGUUUGAAAUUUGAAUAGUGAUCCCUCCUGCCUGAAACUUGUUGAAAUGUGAAGAGCAGGUCCAAUACGGGUGGGUGAGGACUAGACUAGAUUUGUAUUAAGUAUGUGAAGUGUACUGUUCAAAAGAUUUGAACUAAUUGGACUCAAUCCUUACAAACUGGGGAUUGAGUUCGUUGGAGUCGGAUUUGUAUGGGUGAGUUAGACUCAAAAACUAAGAAAAUCAUUUGUUAAUUAAACACCAUCGAGUUACACCUUUUUUAUACUCUGAUAAUAUUUUUGGUGUACAAUAAUUGUAUUGAGGUUAGAACUUAUCAUCUCAUACAUACUACCUAAAUCUCUC
rnacentral:lncRNA from 1 species